GUGCUCGCUUUGGGAGCACAUAUACUAAGAUUGGAAUGAUACAGAGAAGAUUAGCAUGGACCCUGCGCAAGGAUGACACACAUAUGGCAUUUGUUGAAGAAUCUGUGU